GCCGAGCCGCGAGCCGAGUGAGCCGAGCCGCCAGCCGAACCAAGCCGAGCCACGAGCCGAGUGAGCCGAGCCGCGAGCCGAACCAAGCCGAGCCGUGAGCCGAGCCACGAGCCGAACCAAGCCGAGCCGCAAGCCGAGUGAGCCGAGCCGCGAGCCGAACCAAGCCGAGCCGAGCCGAGCCGAGCCGAGCCGAGCCGAGCCGAGCCACCUAAGCCUUCUUUCCUCCACUUCGGUUCACGGUAGUACAGAGUUGACGCUUAAGUUCUCGGGUUCCGCGGCAGGCCUGGUUGGAGAUAGUUUCCUUUCCUUGGGUGGAUCUGUUGAGCGUAGAUUUCGAUCGAGGGGCAUAACCGAAUUUCAGGUAGGGGUACAGCGAGGGGCAGACCGACGAGAGGCAGGAAGGAUGCGUGAAGGCCAUAUGGACGCG